GAUGAAGAACGUAGCGAAAUGCGAAAAGUAAUGUGAAUUGCAGAAUUCAGUGAAUCAUCGAAUCUUUGAACGCACAUUGCGCCCAGUAGUAUUCUGCCGGGCAUGCCUGUUCGAGCGUCAUUUCAACCAUCAAGCCCCAGCGCUUGUGUUGGGGGCCUGCGGCUGCCGCAGCCCCCCAAAAGCAGUGGCGGGCUCGCUAUCACACCGAGUGCAGUAGUUCAUCUUCUCUCCGGUCUUGUGAGGCGGGUUCCGGCCGUGAAACACCCCACUACAUUCAAGGUUGACCUCGGAUCAGGUAGGAAUACCCGCUGAACUUAAGCAUAUCAAUAAGCGGAGGA
rnacentral:misc_RNA from 1 species